rnacentral:rRNA from 1 species
UACGUAGGUGGCAAGCGUUGUCCGGAUUUACUGGGCGUAAAGGGCGUGCAGGCGGUUUGUUAAGUGCAGGGUGAAAGCUCCCGGCUCAACUGGGAGAGGUCCUUGCAUACUGGCGAACUCGAGGGAGGCAGAGGAAAGUGGAAUUCCCGGUGUAGUGGUGAUAUGCGUAGAUAUCGGGAAGAACACCCGUGGCGAAGGCGGCUCUCUGGAACGCAACUGACGCUGAGACGCGAAAGCGUGGGGAGCAAACAGG